UAGUUGUUUUUACACCGGAAAUCGUCAUAUUAUUUCCAACCAUCUUCGAGUUACAGAAGUUAUUGCAUUGAUUUUUAUAUAAAUGAGACGUUUUUAGAGUUUUGAAACCCAACAAACCACUGGGUUUUAGCAUCACACAAUACGUGUGAUGUACGAUGUCAACUAACUACUAGCUUUCAGGCAGUUUCGACUUCGAACCUCUUACUUUCGCAAUUGAUUAAAGAAAACAUUCUUGGCAAAUGCUUUCAGUUUUGUAAUGAUAAAGAGGGACAUAUGUGGGAAUUCGUAUUGUGCCGUAAGAGGUCAAUUCUUGGAUUGUCGUAAGACGAACGACUGCGAAAGCAUUUGCCAAAAUGUUUUUUUUAAUCAA
rnacentral:ncRNA from 1 species